GACGAACGCUGGCGGCGUGCUUAACACAUGCAAGUCGAACGGAAAGGCCCUGCUUUUGUGGGGUGCUCGAGUGGCGAACGGGUGAGUAACACGUGAGUAACCUGCCCUUGACUUUGGGAUAACUUCAGGAAACUGGGGCUAAUACCGGAUAGGAGCUCCUGCUGCAUGGUGGGGGUUGGAAAGUUUCGGCGGUUGGGGAUGGACUCGCGGCUUAUCAGCUUGUUGGUGGGGUAGUGGCUUACCAAGGCUUUGACGGGUAGCCGGCCUGAGAGGGUGACCGGCCACAGUGGGACUGAGAUACGGGCCAGACUCCUACGGGAGGCAGCAGUGGGGAAUAUUGCACAAUGGGCGGAAGCCUGAUGCAGCAACGCCGCGUGCGGGAUGACGGCCUUCGGGUUGUAAACCGCUUUCGCCUGUGACGAAGCGUGAGUGACGGUAAUGGGUAAAGAAGCAACGGCUAACUACGUG
rnacentral:rRNA from 1 species